UGAGCAUGUCUGUGCAGAGCAGCACCAGAUAAAGUGCUAAAGGUUGGUGAAACCAAUGUUUAUUUUGUUGAUUUGUGUAGUUUAUUACCUUGGUUUAGAAAGGGACAUUACUUUAUGUUUUGUUAGUGCUCGAAUUUGAGCUAGGAUUUUGUUUGUAGACUUUCCUUUCUGUUUUGCUAAAGUUUUGAACAAACUGAUUGCUGCAUGGAUUUUGUGCACGAUGUAAAUAAACCACACCAUUUUUGCGUAAGAGACUGUUGUUCUAUACCUGUUACCCUAGAGGACUGUGUUGCUUUGCCCAUAAAGGUCACAGUAUGUAUGUAUAUAUAUAUAUAUAUAUAUAUAUAUGUGUGUGUGUGUGUAGUACACAGGUAUACAGUAAGUAUACACACAUACACAGCACCCCUUACCCCUGUGUGUGUUUGUGUGUGUGUGUGUGUGUGUGCGCCUGCUAGUGGGAAAGCUUGUGUGUAUGUCAGUGAGCUUGUUUGUAGUGAGCUUGUGUGGCAAUGUGCUUGUCUGUAGUGAGCAUGUGAGUGUGUCAGUGAGCUUGUCUGUAGUGAGCGUGUGUGCACGUCAGUGAGCUUUUCUGUAGUGAGCUUGUGUGUGUCAUUGAAGUUUGUAUUUAGUGUACUUGUGUGCAUGGCUUCUACAUGGGCACACAGUUGCACACCUACAGUUGCCCAGGGGUUCCACAAGCAUCCCCACCGUGAUGCCCAUGUGCCCAGGCCAAUAGAGGAGACAUGCUUUCUUGCUGUGGGCCCUCUCAGAACAAGUAUCUCCCUCACUGGCCCAAAGGCCCUUCAUUAGUGACAGGGAGGGUGGGAGAACCUGGGAAACAGAGCGCUCCUCCCGUGAGCAUGCUGUGCCAAGCAUUGCCGCAUGUUACCAUGGCAACGCUCCGACCAGCAUUCUGCUCGUGGGAGGAUUGAAGACAACUCUACUAAAGACAACUCACCACCACCAGACCAACAGGGCACAGCACCCCUCACACACACAAAGCACCCCAGACACAAAGCACCCCUCACACACACAGCACCUAUGACACACACACUCAGCAUCCCUCACACACACAACACCUCUGACACACAUACAGAGCACCACCAACAAACACAGGGCCCCUCACACACAGAUAGCACCACACACACACAGCACCCCUGACACAAAGCACCACACACACACAUAUUUAAGCCUACCCGGCACUCCAAACAGGACAGUUGACAACUAUGAAUCUGUAUAGCUGGCAGGAGGAUCCAUGAACCCACUAAAUUGUGCAUUGAAGCUUGAGUCCAACAGGGAAAGAGCAAGUAAUUAUGAUAAGUGAAACUAAAAGCCAUUGUCAGUAUGGAGGCCUCCACACAGGGUCUCCAUUUUAUAAUAUUGUUUGUUUACAUGCAGAGCCAGUAAAUCUUUUUUAUAUCAGAAAUGAAUCAUUCCACGGACCAUGACUAAUUAUCCAUUGUCUGGCAACUCAACCUACAUUUCUGUGCAUGAUUAACUAACAUCCAGGCACAUAACACAAAGCUAGACCAUUUUAGACCUCAAUUACGCUAUAUGCCAACUGUGAAAUGCUCUUAAUGUUCUCACUUGAAAUAUUAAUGUUUGUUACCACCUGUUUCAGUCUUCAAAAUUAUUAACAUUGAAAAAGUUUGCGUAAACGGUUUGGUUUUUUUAAUAAAAAUAAUUGAUUACCAUUAUGAAAUAUUCAGUUUUUUUAUUAACAUUGAAAAAGUUUGCCAAAACUGUUUGUUUGUUUUUUAAUAAAAAAAAUUGAUUACCAUUAUGAAAUAUUCCGUUUUUUUAUUAUUUAAAAAUAUAUAUAUAUUUUUUUAUUAAAAUAAUUGAUUACUAUUAUGAAAUAGUCAGUUUUUUCUUAUUAAUAUUUUUAAAUUUAGAACAAUCCAGCUCUCUUUUUUAUUGCUUUAAAAGAAAUGCCCACUACAUUAUUUUAGAUUUUUAAUAAGUUUAUUAUCCAUGAUAUAUAUAUAUAUAUAUUUUUUUUUUGCUUAAUAUGUUGCAAGAUAAUUUCAUCAUCAAAUGAUUCAAUAUGGGCAGAUCCUGACUGCUAUGCUGAGAAGUCGCUUCAUCAUUGACUGCAGACUACCAUAACUGCGAAGACGACCCAUACUUUAUGAUUUUCUCCACCUCUAUAUCUUACAGGUGUGCUGAGUUGUUAUGCCCAUGAUAAAGGACUUGCUUGUACUUCUCUGCAACACUGGCAACCUUGUGAACUACCUCCCCUUCUACAGUGGAGAUUAUGGUUCCUUUAUCACUCUGACCAUCAGGUCAGAAGACCACGGACUCACCUAUAUCUUGCACCUACAUCCAUCCGGAUACCUAUGACCUUAGGGACUAUGCUCAACACCCCUCAGAUAAUCAUUCCCUGUAACAAAGGACACCCUACCUAUUCACUCCAGGACACCUCACUGUUACGUUGUGUUCUGCUGUAGAUACCCAUAUAUCUGAUGCUAUCAUAAGUUUAAUAAUUAAUCCUUCAUCAUCAUAUCUCUAUAAGCAUAGCUUUCUGCCACAUAUGCGGUUAAUGAAUAUGUGAUGUCUCCUUAUCCUAACUGUUCCUAUAUACCACUGUACCUGCAACCUCUUACAGGAGAUAUGAUGCCAAAUGUAUUGUUG
rnacentral:lncRNA from 1 species